UCGAGAAUUUUUCACAAUGGGCGAAAGCCUGAUGGAGCGACGCCGCGUGGGGGAUGAAUGGCUUCGGCCCGUAAACCCCUGUCAUUUGCGAUCAAACCUCACAACUUAAUACGUCGUGAGUUGAUAGUAGCAAAAGAGGAAGGGACGGCUAACUCUGUGCCAGCAGCCGCGGUAAUACAACGGUCGCAAGCGUUGUUCGGAUUCACUGGGCGUACAGGGUGCGUAGGCGGUUGGGUAAGUCUGACGUGAAAUCCUG
rnacentral:rRNA from 1 species